UACGGAGGGGGCUAGCGUUGUUCGGAAUUACUGGGCGUAAAGCGCACGUAGGCGGAUUCCUAAGUCGGUGGUGAAAUCCUGGAGCUCAACUCCAGAACUGCCUCCGAUACUGAGAGUCUUCGAGUCCGGGAGAGGUGAGUGGAACUGCGAGUGUAGAGGUGAAAUUCGUAGAUAUUCGCAAGAACACCAGUGGCGAAGGCGGCUCACUGGCCCGGUACUGACGCUGAGGUGCGAAAGCGUGGGGAGCAAACAGG
rnacentral:rRNA from 1 species